CAAAAGGUACCCCAUAGCCGGGCUCCAGGAGAACGAGAAAAAUGCCCGUUUCCAGCAAGCCAGCUUUGCGCUAGCGCAUAAUGAGCCGGUGAGUGAAUCGUCUCACCUCCACCGGUCCUUCCCAUCACCUCCACCGCUGCAACCCCUUCGUCUCCGCCUCCGGCCUCCGCCCUUCGCCUCCCACACUUCUCCCUUCGCCUCGGCCGCGCACGCGGCUGCAGCGGCUGGCGCGGCCGCGGCAGGCAGGACCGUGCACGUGGUCAUGGCAAAGCUCGCCCGCGCACGAGGCUGGGAGCGGCCCCAGCGCAGCUGGUAGCAGAGCUCGCCCGUGCGGCUAGGGGCGAAGCUCGACCGUGCGCGUGGCCACGACGGGCGAGCCGGGAGCGGCCCCAGCGCGGCCGGCGGCAGAGCUCGCCUGCCCGCGACAUCCACCCUCUGAACCCGACGUGCCGACGGCCCCCGCGCGCACGGGCUCCGCGUCCUGGGACACCGCUAGCCACCGCUCCUACUCCUCCGAGGAGCAGUACAUGACGAUGAGCCGCGAGUUCACUGGUCAAUUCGGGGCGUCGGCGGAGAACAAGCGGGGGCUGAAGCUGGACAAGGUGUUGGAGCUCGGCCGCGCGGCCGGCGGAACUCGCUGGCAGAGCUCCCCAGCGCGGCCUCGUUGUUUAGUGCAGCUAGUUCUGCAGAAGCGCUUGGCAAAUGUGAGCGGAGAAAGAGGAGGGUAACUUCACCAAUAUCCAAUGCAAGGUCAUCGUACCAACUUGUACAGCCAACCAAACAUGAGCUAGACAAUAUCUAGCCAUCCAACCAAACACAGGUGAAUUGCAUUUGCUAAGCCCGGUGAAAUCUAGCCUGGCUCAGUUUUCUAGCCAGGCUAGAAUGAACCAAACCAAGUAACCAAACACAUACAGAUCGGAUGUGCU